rnacentral:ncRNA from 2 species
AGCUCGUCCCACGGGAGCCCCGCGUUCCGGGGCUGAGAGGGCGGCAGGACCGGCCGCCGACCGUUAGCACCUGAUCCGGUUCACACCGGCGUAGGGAGGAGUAUCCAGUGACCA